rnacentral:rRNA from 1 species
GAUGAACGCUGGCGGCGUGCUUAACACAUGCAAGUCGAACGAAGCAUUCUAACGGAACAUUUUCGGAUGGGAAGUUAAAAUGACUGAGUGGCGGACGGGUGAGUAACGCGUGGACAACCUACCAUAUACAGGGGGACAACAGUUGGAAACGACUGCUAAUACCGCAUAAGCGCACAGUGCCGCAUGGCACGGUGUGAAAAACUCCGGUGGUAUAUGAUGGAUCCGCGUCUGAUUAGCUAGUUGGUGAGGUAAUGGCCCACCAAGGCAACGAUCAGUAGCCGACCUGAGAGGGUGACCGGCCACAUUGGGACUGAGACACGGCCCAAACUCCUACGGGAGGCAGCAGUGGGGAAUAUUGCACAAUGGGCGAAAGCCUGAUGCAGCGACGCCGCGUGAGCGAAGAAGUAUUUCGGUAUGUAAAGCUCUAUCAGCAGGGAAGAAAAUGACGGUACCUGACUAAGAAGCCCCGGCUAACUACGUGCCAGCCGCCGCCGUAA